AUUGAACGCUGGCGGCAGGCUUAACACAUGCAAGUCGAGCGAGCGGCGGACGGGUGAGUAAUGUCUGGGAAACUGCCUGAUGGAGGGGGAUAACUACUGGAAACGGUAGCUAAUACCGCAUACCAUCAGAUGUGCCCAGAUGGGAUUAGCUAGUAGGGGGGGUAAUGGCUCACGUAGGCGACGAUCCCUAGCUGGUCUGAGAGGAUGACCAGCCAACCUGGAAGUGAUACACGGUCAAGACGCUUACGUGAGGCAGCAGUGGGGAAUAUUGGACACUGGGCGCAAGCCUGAUGCAGCAAUGCCGCGUGUGUGAAGAAGGCUUUCGGGUUGGAAAGCACUUUCAGCGAGGAGGCGUUACUCGCAGAAGAAGCACCGGCUAACUCCGUGCCAGCAGCCGCGGUAAUAC
rnacentral:rRNA from 1 species